UACGUAGGGUCCGAGCGUUGUCCGGAAUUAUUGGGCGUAAAGGGCUCGUAGGCGGUUUGUCACGUCUGCUGUGAAAUCCCGAGGCUCAACCUCGGGCCUGCAGUGGGUACGGGCAGACUGGAGUGCGGUAGGGGAGAGUGGAAUUCCUGGUGUAGCGGUGGAAUGCGCAGAUAUCAGGAGGAACACCGAUGGCGAAGGCAGUUCUCUGGGCCGUAACUGACGCUGAGGAGCGAAAGCGUGGGGAGCGAACAGG
rnacentral:rRNA from 1 species